ensembl:lncRNA LINC01559 long intergenic non-protein coding RNA 1559
UACAGAACUCUAAUACACCAGUACAAUGGAAAGAUUCCUAAAUUCAAAAGCCAGAAGGCUGGGUUCCUGUUCCCACCCUGCCUUUUACCUUCUGUGUGUUCCUGAUGAAGACACUUCAUGCUCCACUAUUUACUUACCUCUGAAACGAAGGGCUGACCCAGAUCAGUUGUUCUCUGACCUGCUUGGAGGGACUCAGAGGCUGUGGAGCAACAGAUUUGGGAAUGAGGAAUCGUUCCCUGGAAGAGUCAGAGCGCUCGUAGACACAUUCUGCUGGAUUGCACGAGCUCCUCCCCUGGGAAAUCCACUAAGACUAGAGGAAAGAAUUGCUUGGAGGAUUCAGAGGCUGAAGAGUGGACAGACGGCUUUAAUUGAGAAAAAGAAGCAGAAAAUUGAGGAAGAUGUGAGGCAUCAAUGCCAGCAGACGACAUGUGACAGGUGCUAGCCACAUGGAUCACACUAAAUUUCUGUCAUUUAUAUAGAUAAAAAAGAAUUUCCAAAGAGCUCCUCCAUAAUUCAGCAUUAACCAGCUUUAAAUCAUCACCUUUCUUUACCUUUUCAAAGCACUUUUAUCUAGCUAGCUUUCACUUUCAGAGUGGCCAAUUCAGGUGAGGAUUCUCAAUCCUGUUCUGCAG